UACGUAGGGACCAAGCGUUGUUCGGAUUUACUGGGCGUAAAGGGCGCGUAGGCGGCGUGUUAAGUCACUUGUGAAAUCUCUAAGCUUAACUUAGAACGGUCAAGUGAUACUGACGUGCUAGAGUGCAGAAGGGGCAACCGGAAUUCUUGGUGUAGCGGUGAAAUGCGUAGAUAUCAAGAGGAACACCUGCGGCGAAGGCGGGUUGCUGGGCCGACACGUGACGCUGAGGCGCGAAAGCCAGGGGAGCGAACGGG
rnacentral:rRNA from 1 species